AGAUCGUCCUGCAUUGAUGUGUUUCAUGGUGUUCUUCAUCAUCCUGAUGAAAUCAGUAAAUCUUCAGCACAGGAGUGAUUUACCUGAUGUAGCUCAUAUCCUAGUGUAUGUGUUUGGUUCUGCUGUCCUAAGUGUCCUUAAUGCAGUUGCUCUUGCGACAGAAGUCUUUCUGAAAGCAGAAAAGGGGCAGCGAACUGUGGAAGAUCUUCAAGUGAUCGUCUUGCCUCUUGAAUCUUUCUUUUUGGUCUGUUGGAUAAGUUUACAUGAGUAUACAGACUGUA